GCAACCGAAGCGGAGACUGGAGGCGGCGCCCGGCGUCCAGGGCGGAACUAGCGCCUAUGGGGCUCGGCGCUGUCAUCUCGGGGGCCUUCCCGGCGCCUUGCCCUACUGGGGAGAGAGACCAAGACUGCGCCAUGAGAACAGUCCAAGGCCGUUAACCGGGAGCCCAGGGGCAAGGGCGCUCGCCAACAUCUGCGCCUGUGGAGGGACUUGCGGACAGCCUGGACGUGGGGACGCGUCCUAGUGACAGAAACAAAGCCCCAGGAGUGCCCUGCUUGGAGCAUUCCGAGUGGAAGCUGGAAGCACGCUAACUGGAGGCGAUUCGUCCUAGAAAAUUUCAGGCCGGGAGCAGUGGCUCACGCCUGUAAUCCCAGCACUUUGGGAGGCCGAGGGGGGCAGAUCAUGAGGUCAGGAGAUCGAGACCAUCUUGGUUAACAUGGUGAAACCCCGUCUCUACAAAAAAUACAAAAAAUUAGCCGGGCGUGGUGGUGGGCGCCUGUAGUCCCAGCUCCUCGGGAGGCUGAGGCAGGAGAAUGGCCGUGAACCCAGGAGGUGCAGCUUGCAGUGAGCCAGGAUCGCGCCACUGCACUCUAGCCUGGGCGACAGAGGGAGACUCCGUCUCAAAAAAAAAAUGUGUAAGUAAAUAAGAACUUUGAUGUUACAUUUCUGUCUACUGUUGCCAUGUCUGUAUCAAUAAUGGAGUCGUCUGAGGAACAACUUUCCCCACAUCAGUGUUUAUAUUAUUCAUUUUUAGGCUUAGUGCUUAAGCUUAGUGAUCGCCUUUUGUAGGAUUGUGUCAUAAGAGCAAAGAAUUACCAUAUAUUGUUACAUUAAAAAUGUUACCUUUGGCCGGGCAUGGUGGCUUAUGCCUGUAAUUCCAGCACUUUGGGAGGCUGAGGCAGGUGAAUCACCUGAGGUCAUGAGUUCAAGGCCAGCCUGGCCAACAUGGCGAAAUGCUGUCUCUACUAAAAAUACAAAAACUAGCCAGGUGGUGGUGGGCACCUGUAAUCCCAGCUACUCAGGAGGCUGAGACAGGAGAAUGGCUUGAGCCCAGGAGGUGGAGGUUGCAGUCAGCCGAGAUGGUGCCACUGCACUCCUCCAGCCUGCCUCUGUCUCAAAAAAAAAAAAAAAAGUUACUUUUACCUUGAUGUCUAAAUAAAGGGGAAGAAAAUCUUUUAAAAGUUAUGGCUGGGCACAAUGCCUCACACCUGUAACCCCAGCACUUUGGGAGGCUGAGUUUGGAAGAUCACUUGAGACCAAGAGGUUGAGGCUGCAGGGAAUGAUGAUCUUGCCACUAUACUCCAGCCUGGAUGACAGAGUGAAACCCUGUCUCAAUUUAAAAAGUUCAUUGGCCAGGUGCGGUCGCUCACGCCUGUAAUCCUAGCACUUUGGGAGGCCGAGGCGGGCGGAUCACGAGGUCAGGAGAUCGAGACCAUCCUGGCUAACACGGUGAAACCCCGUCUCUACUAAAAAAUACAAAAAAUUAGGCCGGGCACGGUGGCUCACGCCUGUAAUCCUAGCACUUUGGGAGGCCGAGGUGGGCGGAUCACUUGAGGUCAGGAGUUCAAAACCAGCUUGGCCAUCAUGGUCAAACCCGGUCUCUACUAAAAAUACAAAAAAAAUUAGUUGGGCAUGGUGGUGUUGCCUGUAAUCCCUGCUACUCGGGAGGCUGAGGCAGGAGAAUAGCUUGAACCCAGGAGGUGGAGGUUGCAGUGAGCCGAGAUUGUGCCACCGCACUCCAGCCUGGGCAACAGAGCGAGACUCCAUCUCAAAAAUAAAAUAAAAUAAAAUAAAAUAAAAUAAAUAAAAA